CUCUUCUCCACUUGUGAUUAAGUUGCUCUGUUUGCUAGUUCUAGGUGCCUGCAAAAUAACAUUCGCUUUGCAGCUUGCCAUGUUCCCGGGGUCAAUAAUAUACUGGCGGAUGCUUUGUCACGUUUUCAGUGGGAUCUUUUUAGAUCCCUUGCUCCAUCAGCGGCAGCUCAGGGCUGAUUGUCCUCCCUCUCUCUGGCAGAUGGACAAUAGAAGCUCCUUUUCCCCUUGGUGAGAGCUUCGCUGGCCCCUCAAACUUGGAGGUCGUACAUCCGCUGCUGGGGCGAAUGGGUCAGUUUCUCUAUGGGUAUCGGGGUUCGUGAUGUGGCGGCCUCCCAGGGGCGGUUUUGAGUUGGCUGGCUACUUUGCAUUCCUGUGGCCUUUCUAGAGCUAUGUGGGGAUCAAGCUCGCUGCCCUUUCCUUCUUUUUUGAGAUUUGCAGGUAAGCCAGAUCCUUCUAGGUUUUUCAUGGCUAGGCAGGUUCUCAAAGGUUGUAUAGGUCAGAGCCUCGUCCUACGCACACUCGGGAACCCAUAACCCCUGCUCCUCUGAUAUAGUUUCUGCUUGCUUUACCGUUAGUUUGUUCUUCUGCAUUUGAGGUCGCUCUUUUUCAGACAGCGUUUGGCCUGGCUUUUCAUGGAGCGCUCCGAGUGGGGAAACUGGUAGCUCCGUCAUCAAGGGUGGUGGGCCGUGGGAUCCAAGCUACUCAUGUCUCCCUUUCACCUCAGGUAGUUUUGCUGUUCAUUCCCCGUUCCAAGUCUGACCAAGAGGGACGAGGUACGUGGGUGUCCA